AUACUUACCUGGACGGGGUCGAUGGGCGAUCAAGAAGGCCCAUGGCCUAGAUCAGUGGCCCACAUUGCACUUGGUGGGUGCGUCUACCAUCUCUCUAAAUGGGAGAGUGGACGUCAAAAUUUGGUCCUUUCUUUGUUCUUUAGGAUUAGGAAA